AGAGCGAACGUUAGCGGCGCGCCUAACACAUGCAAGUCGAGCGAGAAAGGGAGCAAUCCUGAGUAAAGCGGCGGACGGGUGCGUAACACGUAGAUAACCUGCCCUUUGGAGGGGGAUAACGUUCCGAAAGGAGCGCUAAUACCGCGUAAAGCGUUUGGUGGUUCGCCACCAGACGGCAAAGGUUGGGACCCGCAAGGGCCAACCGCCAGAGGAGGGUCUGCGGCCCAUCAGCUAGUUGGUAAGGUAAUGGCUUACCAAGGCAAAGACGGUAGCUGGUCUGAGAGGAUGAUCAGCCACACUGGUACUGGAACACGGACCAGACUCCGUACGGGA
rnacentral:rRNA from 1 species